rnacentral:rRNA from 1 species
CCUACGGGAUGCAGCAGUGAGGAAUAUUGGUCAAUGGACGAGAGUCUGAACCAGCCAAGUAGCGUGAAGGAUGACUGCCCUAUGGGUUGUAAACUUCUUUUAUAUGGGAAUAAAAUGUUCCACGUGUGGGAUUUUGUAUGUACCAUAUGAAUAAGGAUCGGCUAACUCCGUUCCAGCAGCCGCGGUAAUACGGAGGAUCCGAGCGUUAUCCGGAUUUAUUGGGUUUAAAGGGAGCGUAGGUGGAUUGUUAAGUCAGUUGUGAAAGUUUGCGGCUCAACCGUAAAAUUGCAGUUGAAACUGGCAGUCUUGAGUACAGUAGAGGUGGGCGGAAUUCGUGGUGUAGCGGUGAAAUGCUUAGAUAUCACGAAGAACUCCGAUUGCGAAGGCAGUUCACUGGACUGCAACUGACACUGAGGCUCGAAAGUGUGGGUAUCAAACAGGAUUAGAUACCCCUGUAGUC